GAUAAAUCUGGUUUCCGUACCCAACGUUUGACUGUCCGUCUUAUUUAAAAAAAUUAUGAAAACAAUUAAAAAGACAAGUCACGCAUAAAAUAUUAAUCAUGUUUUAUCAUCUAACAACAAUGAAAAUACGAAUUAUAAAAAAAUUUCAUAUAAGACGGACAGUCAUAAUUGGACACGGAAAAUCAGGGUUUGCCUUUUU
rfam:Oryza nivara chromosome 2, whole genome shotgun sequence.